AUGGCUGGUCCGGCCAAGGCGUCGUGGAUGGUGGCCAUGAGCGUGGGCGCGGUGGAGGCCCUCAAGGACCAGGCUGGCCUCUGCCGCUGGAACUAUGCGCUCAGGUCCAUCCACCGAACAGCCAAGGCCAAAGCCAGUGUCCGCGGCGGCGUCUCGCAUGGCAAGAAGCAGCUUCCAACCUCUGCGGCCGCCGUGGCGGGGAGGUGGCAAGCAGAGAAGUCUGAAGAGGGGCUGAGGACGGUCAUGUACCUCAGUUGCUGGGGGCCAAAUUAG
rnacentral:rRNA from 1 species